GUGGGGAAUAUUGGACAAUGGGCGAAAGCCUGAUCCAGCCAUGCCGCGUGUGUGAAGAAGGUCUUCGGAUUGUAAAGCACUUUAAGUUGGGAGGAAGGGCAGUAAGUUAAUACCUUGCUGUUUUGACGUUACCGACAGAAUAAGCACCGGCUAACUUCGUGCCAGCAGCCGCGGUAAUACGAAGGGUGCAAGCGUUAAUCGGAAUUACUGGGCGUAAAGCGCGCGUAGGUGGUUUUGUAAGUUGGAGGUGAAAUCCCCGGGCUCAACCUGGGAACUGCCUCCAAAACUGCAUGACUAGAGUACGGUAGAGGGUAGUGGAAUUUCCUGUGUAGCGGUGAAAUGCGUAGAUAUAGGAAGGAACAUCAGUGGCGAAGGCGACUACCUGGACUGAUACUGACACUGAGGUGCGAAAGCGUGGGGAGCAAACAGGAUUAGAAACCCCUGUAGUCC
rnacentral:rRNA from 1 species